rnacentral:rRNA from 1 species
UAAAUAGAUACCCCUGGUAGUCCACGCCCUAAACGAUGCGAACUGGAUGUUGGGUACAUUACGGUACUCAGUGUCGAAGCUAACGCGUUAAGUUCGCCGCCUGGGGAGUACGGUCGCAAGACUGAAACUCAAAGGAAUUGACGGGGGCCCGCACAAGCGGUGGAGUAUGUGGUUUAAUUCGAUGCAACGCGAAGAACCUUACCUGGCCUUGACAUCUGUCGAAUCCUGCAGAGAUGCGGGAGUGCCGCAAGGAACGACAAGACAGGUGCUGCAUGGCUGUCGUCAGCUCGUGUCGUGAGAUGUUGGGUUAAGUCCCGCAACGAGCGCAACCCUUGUCCCUAGUUGCCAGCACGUAAUGGUGGGAACUCUAGGGAGACUGCCGGUGACAAACCGGGAGGAAGGUGGGGAUGACGUCAAGUCCUCAUGGCCCUUACGGCCAGGGCUACACACGUACUACAAUGGUCGGUACAGAGGGUUGCGAAGCCGCGAGGUGGAGCCAAUCCCAGAAAACCGAUCCCAGUCCGGAUCGGAGUCUGC